GACGAACGCUGGCGGCGUGCUUAAUACAUGCAAGUCGAACGGAAAGGCCCUGCUUUUGUGGGGUGCUCGAGUGGCGAACGGGUGAGUAACACGUGAGUAACCUGCCCUUGACUUUGGGAUAACUUCAGGAAACUGGGGCUCAUACCGGAUAGGAGCUCCUGCUGCAUGGUGGGGGUUGGAAAGUUUCGGCGGUUGGGGAUGGACUCGCGGCUUAUCAGCUUGUUGGUGGGGUAGUGGCUUACCAAGGCUUUGACGGGUAGCCGGCCUGAGAGGGUGACCGGCCACAAUGGGACUGAGAGACGGCCCAGACUCCUACGGGAGGCAGCAGUGGGGAAUCUUGCACAAUGGGGGGGAGCCUGAUGCAGCAACGCCGGGUGCGGGAUGACGGCUUUCGGGUUGUAAACCGCUUUCGCCUGUGACGAAGCGUGAGUGACGGUAAUGGGUAAAGAAGCACCGGCUAACUACGUG
rnacentral:rRNA from 1 species